CCACCAAUGUGAUUGGAAUUGAUUAGGGCAGUUGAACACGUGGGAGAGCACCUCGGGAAACCUAUGCAAAUGGCCGUGGGCGUUGCCUGCCCUGCCUUAAAAAGUUGAACCCUUUCGUUUCGUCUCACUGCCUCAAUCACCUCCCCCUUUCCCUUCUUCAAGAAUUUGACCCUAACCCACCACUCUGGUUCUACAAUCGAACCCAGAUCUGCUUCCAUUUCCCUUAAAGGAGUUCCGGGUCAGAAAACAAUAAACUACAUGUCUACAUACAUGAAGGACUGCUUUUAGUCUGAAAGGGGAUGCUAUAGAGAUCGAUGCUGUUAUAGCUGUUUGACGUUCAUAUCUGGAUUGUCUCUCUGUUGCACUAAAAGAUGAUAAAGAUUGAACAGGGUUGAAGGCAUAAGAAUCUAAGAAUGGAACUAAGCUGCUAGCAUUGAAUUUAAACAUAAUUGAAUCCUAGUUUGAUGGCAAAUGUAUGAACAGUAUUCAAACACAGAAUAGUAUUACAAUGAAGCCUAUUGAUCAAAGAGAGCGCACCAGGGGUCGUAAUGACAUUCUCACUCGUCGCUUGAAGAACCGAGAAAGACAACGUAGAUAUAGGGCCCGGAAGCGUCUUGAAGCAGAAUUGAAAAAUUCCAGCAUUAUAAAGCCCU